GACAGAGGGUGCAAACGUUGUUCGGAAUUACUGGGCGUAAAGCGUGUGUAGGCGGCCAUGUAAGUCGGAUGUGAAAGCCCCGGGCUCAACCCGGGAAGUGCACUCGAUACUGCGUGGCUUGAGUACCGGAGAGGUUGGUGGAAUUCUCGGUGUAGAGGUGAAAUUCGUAGAUAUUCGGAAGAACAUCGGUGGCGAAAGCGCUCUACUGGACCGCAACUGACACUCAGGGACGAAAGCUAGGGGAGCGAAUGGG
rnacentral:rRNA from 1 species